UCUUCGCUUUUUAUGGCUUGUGUGCGUCUAUAUGGUCCUUCAUGGUGUAAUUAUGUCAUGCUAAUAUUUUGAUAACUAUCUAGUUUUGUUUAUGAUUAGUGUAGCUGAAAGAAUGAUCAUCAUUUAGGAUUGGACUUGACGCAUCUAUUCAUUUAAGAUUGAUCAUCAUAUUCUUUACGCACUUAAUACGUAAGAUAGUUUUCUUAGAUCAUACUGAGCAAUGUUCACAUUUUGUACUUGUUGGUGUCUCCGUAUGAUUUUUGCAACUUCUUUCUCUUUGUUACUUCAAUGCAGAAGUGUAAUCCUGCCAUGUUCAAAUGUUUCUUUCAGUUCACUAUCUAGGCUAUACAUGGCCUGUCGUACUGGAAUGGUUAAUUUGCAGGACAAAAUAUGGAAAAAUUUGGUUCUCAGUUAAAAUGCCAAUGAAAAAAUAAAUGCUAUGCUUUGUUAGUUCCUUCAGUUUUCUAGCUAAGCUAGUCAUGUUGAAUGCUUUCUCCAGCAGGGUCAUGAAAGUCUCAAUCUUCCUACUCUUGAUAUUUUUAGAGUAUUGGCAAUGAAUAUACUAGGAAAAGCCGUUACUAGUAGUAUCUUUGUUAGCUCAGCCUGAAGGUUUAACUUUUACUACUUGUUUGGUGGAUAUUUACCAUCUAAUAUUCCCAAGAAUUCGUUCCUAGUUAUGUAUGCCUCCUAUUCAAACUCACAGUAUUGUUACUUUUCCUGUAACUUUCUAUUUAUCUUUCUUCCUUUUUUAUAAGGAUUGAGGAAGCAUUCAACAAUUAUAGUGCAAGGAUAGAUAUACCAUCGGAUUGAGGGCAGUUUAGUAGAUCCACUGAAGCAGAACAACAAUUUUGGGCGCAAUGUCAGCAAAGGUGGAUGUGUUUCGGCUUGGUCUCAUGGACGUUGUGGUCUGGCCUAGGUUAAAGCCACUAUGGAAGCUAAUAUAUAUGCCUGGUUAUUCGCAGUCCUGAUGCUUGUGUGCUUGGAGAGCUAAUGGACUUGAUGAUUUUGUGUUGUUGGUGAAUCAGGGCUGUUCAACCCAGAUGAUGUUGC